rnacentral:rRNA from 1 species
AGAGUUUGAUCAUGGCUCAGGACGAACGCUGGCGGCGUGCUUAACACAUGCAAGUCGAGCGGUAAGGCCCUUCGGGGUACACGAGCGGCGAACGGGUGAGUAACACGUGGGUGAUCUACCCUGUACUUCGGGAUAAGCCUGGGAAACUGGGUCUAAUACCGGAUAUGACCUCUGGGUGCAUGCCUGGGGGUGGAAAGAUUUAUCGGUACAGGAUGGGCCCGCGGCCUAUCAGCUUGUUGGUGGGGUAAUGGCCUACCAAGGCGACGACGGGUAGCCGGCCUGAGAGGGCGACCGGCCACACUGGGACUGAGACACGGCCCAGACUCCUACGGGAGGCAGCAGUGGGGAAUAUUGCACAAUGGGCGGAAGCCUGAUGCAGCGACGCCGCGUGAGGGAUGACGGCCUUCGGGUUGUAAACCUCUUUCGACAGGGACGAAGCGCAAGUGACGGUACCUGUAGAAGAAGCACCGGCCAACUACGUGCCAGCAGCCGCGGUAAUACGUAGGGUGCGAGCGUUGUCCGGAAUUACUGGGCGUAAAGAGCUUGUAGGCGGUUUGUCGCGUCGUCCGUGAAAACUUGGGGCUCAACCCCAAGCUUGCGGGCGAUACGGGCAGACUUGAGUACUGCAGGGGAGACUGGAAUUCCUGGUGUAGCGGUGAAAUGCGCAGAUAUCAGGAGGAACACCGGUGGCGAAGGCGGGUCUCUGGGCAGUAACUGACGCUGAGAAGCGAAAGCGUGGGUAGCGAACAGGAUUAGAUACCCUGGUAGUCCACGCCGUAAACGGUGGGCGCUAGGUGUGGGUUUCCU